AACGCACAUUGCGCCCUCUGGUAUUCCGGGGGGCAUGCCUGUUCGAGCGUCAUUAUAUCCAUCAAGCUUGGCUUGGUCUUGGGCAUCACUGUAAUGGUGCGCCUCAAAACAACUGGCGGUAUGAGCCGGCUUCAAGCGUAGUAAUUUUUCUCGCUAUGGACACUGGAGCAUGCUUGCCAAAACCCAUAACUUUUUUUUAAGGUUGACCUCGGAUCAGGUAGGGAUACCCGCUGAACUUAA
rnacentral:misc_RNA from 1 species